AAGCAUAUAACUUUGUGGUGUUCUGGGGCUUUUCUUAAUCAAAUCAUAUCUUCUUUGAUUUGAGUAGCACUAUAUCACGUUAAUAUUGCUUCAGAACUCAAACUUUUAGUGACACUAUUUUAGUUUGUGAAUACAUACAGGUGUUGUACUCUGUCCCCCUUUUUGGUGCUCCAUACUCUGGCUACCUGAACUUUCUUUGUAAGCUUCGAGUCCUGUCUUUGGAGGUUUAUUUUAUUUUAUUUUUUAAAUUAAAGAGGUUUUGAUUUAUGUCCCCCUCUAAGUGUAAAUACUUUUGUUAAUAUACAAUGUAGGGGCUAAUGCCAAACCUCCCAACACCUCAGGAGUACAGAUCCUAGGUGUUUGGAUUGAAUAAAACAAACAUAUGAAAGUUUGUCAUCCAGUGCAUCAGUUAGGUUAAAGUGAGGCAAAUUAAGAACACUCACUCAAUUUAGGUUUAGAUAUAUAAUACUUUUUGAUAGUUUAGUUCUUUUUUCCUAUUUCUUUUUGCCUCUUAAAGUUUUAAUUGAUAUUGCACGACUUCAAUGUGGAAUUUUGAAAGCCUCGAGAAGCGAACCAUGACACUCAAAUAGUUUAGUGUGGGCUUGAUAAUGUGAUGAUGAUGUCCCGGGGCCUUCAUGUACAUGUUAUUGGUGGCUUAAAGAAACAGAACUACUCUGCCACGAGCUGCAUUACAUCGUCCGAUAGUACUAUUUCUUCUACUUUCUACACAGGGCAGGAGCAUAUACACACUUGAUUAAUGAGGAGGAUCACGAAAAUUUGAAAUAGUCCUGAUGGACUCUUCCCAGGCAUUCUUGGUCAUGAGGCUGUAGGUUAGUGGAAAGUGUUGGUGAAGGAUUGAUUGAGGUUUAUCAGGCAAUAAGCAGAGAAUGCAAGUUUAACUUGAAGGAGUUUUGAUGAAUGAUCCCAAAAGUCAUAUUUCAAAUAGAAGUUGAAAAGUGAUGCUUAUGUUACAGGCUUUCUUUUAUUAAUUGCAGCUACAAUAGUAAUGAGGAUUGAGGGCCGAGGGAUUACUAGAAGACUGAUAUUUAUACAAUAUGUAGAUCAUUUUAUGUGCCUAGCUGUUUAAAAUAUUUGUAACGGAAUAGUAUGAGGUUGUAUUCUUAAUAUAGAAUAAUAUAUUGUGAGACAUUUAAUUUGGGGAAAC